rnacentral:lncRNA from 1 species
UCAAAGAAAACGUAGUGAAAAGCACAAAGAAGCCGACCACAAAUGCGAGGAAAUAGCAACGACGACGAUGGAAGUCCUGGUGGGCGCCAUCACCAUCAAGUAAGCCUUCUUCUUCAAUGGCAUCGAACUCUUUCCAUGGCUUGCGACCCUUGCGAGAUCCGUCGUGCUUACGCUGUGGUUUCAUGGAUCCAGACAAGCGGGUUGAAGAAGACUCACGGGAGGAAUGAGGGCCUAAUGAAGAGUUGGAGUGAGAGUGAGGAGGUGAGCCCAUGGGGCUGAGCACCGGUGUGGAGUGGAAUGAGUUAGUGGUCUUUUCACCAUCAUGAGAGUCCCUGGAUGGACUCUGCACAUAGUAGACUUGGCGACGAUCCGAUCUUGCCGGUGAAGAUUGACUUAGGCUGCUCACCUCUGAGUCUGUCUUGGAGAGAUGAGCCGACAUUUUCUCCAGUUCUAGCUGUUGUUUUGUAAGUCGAAGACCCAAUGCUAGUGAUGAAGGAGGAGGAGGAGAAGAAGAAAUAGCAAGAGAGAGUAUGAAAAUGGGGUUUACUUGAGAAUUAAAUGUUUAGUAAAAUUGUAGGAUCUCUGGAACGUACCUUUUGCUGUCUGCACGUAGCAAUUUAGUUUUGUUUAUUAUUAUCGAUGUGAAAAAGUAAUUAAUGAGAGCAGGUGGGGAGAGAGAGACAGAGCAAUGGCAGUUGUCCAGUGAAAUAGGUCAUUGUUUGUAUUCAUAUAUGAAAUUGUCAACUUUAACUAUUUUUUACACUCAACCAGUUUCACUGCAGAUCUACAUCUAGCCUGUGUGUCAACACAAAGAUUGGCUCUGUGAGUGAAAUCAAGAUCAAAGUAACAUCAAGGGAACUGUGUUGAAAGCACUGAGACAAGAUCAACCUGGAAGGAUUUGGAGUGGGCCUCAAAAUAUCACUGCAUCUUACAUUCUAAAUUGUAAACCAAAGGGG